rnacentral:rRNA from 1 species
UACAGGGGGUGCAAACGUUGCUCGGAAUCAUUGGGCGUAAAGCGCACGUAGGCGGUCUGUUAUGUCGGGCGUGAAAUCCCUAGGCUCAACCUAGGAACUGCACUCGAAACUGUUUAUCUUGAGUGCCGGAGAGGAAAGCGGAAUUCCUGGUGUAGAGGUGAAAUUCGUAGAUAUCAGGAGGAACACCAGUGGCGAAGGCGGCUUUCUGGACGGUAACUGACGCUGAGACGCGAAAGCGUGGGGAGCAAACAGG